CUCCUGUUUUUAUUUGCUCUUCUAAUUAUUGUUAGCUUUGAGUGUCUGUUAAUAUGACACUUAAGACUCAGGUAAUCCUUGCCCAAAUGUCCCAAGUCUGCUUCCUGGACUUGAUAAGGCCUGGAUAAGCCUCUUCCCUAGUCUGUCUCCCUUGGGUUUCUUCUUUAUAAACUUCAAACCCUUUGCUCUUUUUUCUAUUCUUUCCUAUUUCUUUCUUACUCAUUCACAGGAUUUCCUUGUUACAGAUCUCCUGUGUGUUUUAGACAAAGCUUACUCUUACAUGCUGUUACCCAUUUCUUAAUUUUGUUCAUGGUGUCCUUUAUUAGAGAGAGACCUUUAAUCUUGAUGUAAUCAAAUCCAUCAUUUUUUCUUUUUUUGGUCUUAUGUUUUGUGCUUCUAAAAUACCUAGAAGCCUCGGGUCAUAAAACUAUUUCCUUCUAAGUCUGUAGUUUUAUAUUAGACAUUUUGACAUUAGACAUGGAUUAUUAUACAUAAUCAAUCUGAAGUGCCCCUUUGUAUGUGGAGUUAGGGAGGGGCCCAGUUUCCUUAUCUUCCCUACCGUGAGCUGCUUUUCUGAGCACCCUGCCUUCCCCUUAGCCUCGCAGCAUAGGGCUGACAUCCCUCGCACAUACGCCAGUUUGGGUGCUCCAAGGAAGGGAGGGGCAGUGGGGUGCAGGGGUCCAUGUCAGAUGUUCUUCUCACAUGGUACUCAGGACCAAGCCGCUCAGGACAGAUAAAGGCAGCACUGACAGACAAAAUGCUCUACCAAGUCAGAGGCAAGGACCAGGGCCCAAGCCUUGGUUUAAACUCUGACUUCGCCAGCUUCAAUCAACCUUCCACCGUUUAUCUGAGGGCUUCCGGGCACAGACCCCUGCUCUGGUGAUGGACAGUUAUAGUUAUGUCGAAAAAUGCACCUGUGUACGUAUCCCAUGUGGUGGAUAUAGUCCAGGGCCUUGAGCACCCCCUGCAGGAUGUAAGCAAUCGCCAGUUCAUUCAUGCCAUCCAUGAAGUGCGUGCAGAUGAGAUCCUUUGCAGAACCUGAAGAACACAAUUGUGGGGACAGAGGGGAAGGGUAACAGAGAAGGAAACCACACAUGAGCCAGCUGACGAUGGUGCUCUCAGAACACCUCUCUGCCAGGACCCCGUCCCACUCACCAUAUGCCAUGAAUGAUGUGACAACCCACAGCUCAUUGUCUGCAAUAAAGGUGGCUCGAUAUGGCAGGAUAUUGGGAUGGCUGAAGAGUUUAGAGACAUGAAGCUCCCCCUGAAAGCAAUGGUAAGUGGAAGUCAGAAUCAAGGGGCGCUGAAGAAGGACGCUCAACAUGGAAGUGGCAGCAGGAAUAAUAUGGGGACUUUAUUCUCCCUGGAGCACUGCUGAGCAUCCUGGGAGCAGCCUAGGCGGGUGGUCACCUGUAGGAGACAUGUCAGGCUCCACUGUCUCUGCAGGGAAGCCAGCACUGCUCUGCCAGCUUCUGCCCCAGUUUGGCUCCACCAGCCAAUCUUAAAGAGCCUCGAGAAAGAUUCUCCACCAACAGAGAAACUGCUAACAACAUCACAGAAGGUCCCAGCUCGUCACCUCGGAAACGAUGAGAACCAACUGUUGACUGAAGACAGGAAGUAAUAAGCCUAGCUCGACUUCAAGGAAUAAGUCAUAGAACUCCUUUUUAAGCCAACCAUUUGAACUGACUAUGGCCCAGGACAUCAGAAGCAUACAGCCAAAAAGAAAAAAUUGAAAAAGAGCUUCUCUCCUGAUAACAUAAUCUCUUUACCCAUACCUGGAAGCAAAGCAAACCAAAGCAAAGGAUACCCACAAAUGGCUGCUUGGUCACCCUGAAUCCUGCUAACUAGCUGACAGCCUUUGGCACACACUCAUCUGGAGAUGCAGAGAAGACCGUGGCAGUGCCCUGGAGCCUGAAUAUGGCAGUUCCUGGACUUUACCUAUGACGGUGAGUAGCUCAUAGCGCCCUCCCUCUGGCAGGAAGCUACUCAUGAUCUCCUGUUUAGAGAGGGAUGCUAUCGACUCUGAGCUCGCCUCAUUGGUCUAAAGAAAAAGAAAAAUAGGUUAAUAAGAGAAAACUGGGUGUGGGAUGGGAGUAGGCAGGUGGUAACUCAGACCCCUCAGGAGACUGGCAUCUAAACAUGCAAAUUCUGACUCUGGGUCAAAGAAAUUUUUCCAGCACUAUCUGAUGAGAAAUGUAAAACAUCAGAUGUUCAGUGUAGUCACCAGCACUAACAUCAGAGCCAGUAAGUAUGAGCACUGUCGAUGAAUGGGGGUGGGGGACAGGGCCAGUUCCAGUCAACUGUUGAUUUGCUUGUCCUUUCCAACAACUGGCUCAUUUGUUAAAAACUAUGAAAUUCUUAAUUGGGGAAAGAUGUCUGGAGAAAGGCAUAUUUAGAAAACAGAAGGGGGAUGGAGAGGUAGAGGUGGGGAGGGUUCUCUUGAGUUUCCUGCUCCACUGGGGUCCUAUGUGAAGGUCCUGACCACAAGAUUCCAAAGGUCACAUGUUGAAUCUUGCUACAGGGAAAAUGUGGCCAUAAGAAGUCCUCUCUUUAGCAAACCAAAAGCCCAGACCAAUUAUUCUCUGACAUUUCCAACUGAAGCAAAAAACAACAAAAAACAAAGAACAGCCAACACACAGGGCUGCAGGGCAAGGAACAGAGCUGUCAGGUCUCAGCCAGGAUCCCAGGCAGCGGAAGUAACCUGCUUCCUCAUUCCUGCUGCAAAUGAAGCUGGACUCCAGCCAAUUAGGAUGUGGGCAUCAUAACUCUGGCUUCUGAGGUCCAGCAAAAGGGGGCCCAGCAAAAUUGAUGGCAGACCAAUAGCUCUUCCUUUAGCUCAAAAGGCUGUUUCUUUCUCCCAGACCUACAUUUAUUUGCAUGAUUUGGGAGCCAUGUUUUUCUUUCUUUUGGAUUCUCUUUCUUCAGAUGUGUGUCCUAUUGAAAUGGAGAACCUUAGGCCAGCUCAAAUGUCAUAAACUAUAUACCUAAACCUGAGCUCAAGUUAUGAAAAAGUCUUUGUGAACACAUGAAAGGCCCCAGACUCAGUGCAAGCCCGAAGAGAGUGAAUUGAGAAUGUUCUGACAUGGUGGUACCACCUUGCUGGGUGUCCCUGACAUUUUAAGCACAUCUGGUUUCAGAAGAGUGCACACUGCCAAUGGGGAAAGAAACCAAGUGUCGUUCUUCCUUUUGCACCACUUACUAGAACACUAAGAGGAAUCUAGUCAAGCAAAAGAAAGCCCUGUCAGCACAUUUCUAAUUUAACUUUUACAUAUUUCUAAGACUCAUCUAUAUUGUUGUAUUUAGCCAUGCUAUACACACAUGUUGUGUAAUAGUCAUCUUGUUUAUCCAUUUUAGUGUUGAUGGGCUUUUUGGGUUGUUUUCAGUUCUGCUAUCAUGAAUAUGCUAUUAGAAACCCAUCUGAAUGUGUCUCCUGAUGUAUACAUAGAGCUAUUCGAAAGCUUAUAACCAGAAAUUGAAUUGUUAGGUUACCAUGUAAAUGAACAAUCAACUUUACAAGAUAAUGUAAAAUUUUCCAAAGUGGUUAUACUAAUCAAUACUCCCUCCAGCAUUAUAUGUAUGUUCUCAUUGACCCAUUUUCCUCUAUUACUAAAUCAGAUUAAUUUUUGCCAAUGUCAUUGUGGAUUUGAUUUACAUUUCCUUGAUUACUAAUAAAGUUGAACAUCUUUUUUCACAUA